rnacentral:rRNA from 1 species
UAGGGAAUCCUCCACAAUGGGCGAAAGCCUGAUGGAGCAACGCCGCGUGUGUGAUGAAGGGUUUCGGCUCGUAAAACACUGUUGUAAGGGAAGAAUGACAUUGAGAGUAACUGUUCAAUGUGUGACGGUAUCUUACCAGAAAGGAACGGCUAAAUACGUGCCAG